rnacentral:rRNA from 1 species
AUUGAACGCUGGCGGCAUGCCUUACACAUGCAAGUCGAACGGUAACAGCACUUCGGUGGCUGACGAGUGGCGAACGGGUGAGUAAUACAUCGGAACGUGCCCGAGAGUGGGGGAUAACGCAGCGAAAGCUGUGCUAAUACCGCAUACGAUCUACGGAUGAAAGCAGGGGACCGCAAGGCCUUGCGCUCAUGGAGCGGCCGAUGGCAGAUUAGGUAGUUGGUGGGAUAAAAGCUUACCAAGCCGACGAUCUGUAGCUGGUCUGAGAGGACGACCAGCCACACUGGGACUGAGACACGGCCCAGACUCCUACGGGAGGCAGCAGUGGGGAAUUUUGGACAAUGGGGGAAACCCUGAUCCAGCCAUGCCGCGUGCAGGAUGAAGGCCUUCGGUUGUAACUAGCUUUGUACGGAACGAAAGGUACGUUUCUAAUAAAGAAGACUCAUGACGGUACCGUAAGAAUAAGCACCGGCUAACUACGUGCCAGCAGCCG